rnacentral:rRNA from 1 species
CGACGCUCUUCCGAUCUCGGGGCGAGUAAAGUGGCGCACGGGUGAGUAACGCGUGGAUAAUCUACCCUUAAGAUGGGGAUAACGGCUGGAAACGGUCGCUAAUACCGAAUACGCUCCCGAUUUUAUCAUUGGGGGGAAAGAUGGCCUCUGCUUGCAAGCUAUCGCUUAAGGAUGAGUCCGCGUCCCAUUAGCUAGUUGGCGGGGUAACGGCCCACCAAGGCAACGAUGGGUAGCCGGUCUGAGAGGAUGACCGGCCACACUGGAACUGGAACACGGUCCAGACUCCUACGGGAGGCAGCAGUGGGGAAUAUUGCGCAAUGGGCGAAAGCCUGACGCAGCGACGCCGCGUGAGGGAUGAAGGUUCUCGGAUCGUAAACCUCUGUCAGGGGGGAAGAAACCCCCUCGUGUGAAUAAUGCGAGGGCUUGACGGUACCCCCAAAGGAAGCACCGGCUAACUCCGUGCCAGCAGCCGCGGUAAUACGGAGGGUGCAAGCGUUAAUCGGAAUUACUGGGCGUAAAGCGCACGCAGGCGGUUUGUUAAGUCAGAUGUGAAAUCCCCGGGCUCAACCUGGGAACUGCAUCUGAUACUGGCAAGCUUGAGUCUCGUAGAGGGGGGUAGAAUUCCAGGUGUAGGAGUGAAAUCCGUAGAUAUCUGGAGGAACACCGGUGGCGAAGGCGGCCACCUGGACGGUAACUGACGCUGAGGUGCGAAAGCGUGGGUAGCAAACAGGAUUAGAUACCCUGGUAGUCCACGCUGUAAACGAUGGGUGCUGGGUGCUGGGAUGUAUGUCUCGGUGCCGUAGCUAACGCGAUAAGCACCCCGCCUGGGGAGUACGGUCGCAAGGCUGAAACUCAAAGAAAUUGACGGGGGCCCGCACAAGCGGUGGAGUAUGUGGUUUAAUUCGAAGCAACGC